AUAAAUGGGAAAAAAUAAAUGGUUGCAAUAAAAAUGUGACAAAGUUACUACUUUGUUGCCUUGCAGUUUGGGAAACGCACCAAGGCAAUAAGGUGCAUGCCUCCGUUAGGUGGCUCACUUGACCACAAUAGAGGUGCUAGACGUAGUGGCUAUUAACCCUUUAGCAACCUUGUUAUCAACUAUCAACAAGAAUUAUUAGCUCUUAGCUGCCAUUAUUAGUUUGUCUUGAACUGAAUGGACUCUAAAAGAAUGCUGUUAUCUAUUUUUAUUGUAUUAAUUGCUAGUCUUACAUCAUGAAUGUGUUGU
rnacentral:misc_RNA from 1 species